rnacentral:rRNA from 1 species
UACAGAGGUCUCAAGCGUUGUUCGGAUUCAUUGGGCGUAAAGCGCGUGUAGGCGGCUCGAUAAGUCUGCUGUGAAAGUCCAGGGCUCAACCCUGGGAUGCCGGUGGAUACUGUCGAGCUCGAGUCCGGAAGAGGCGAGUGGAAUUCCUGGUGUAGCGGUGAAAUGCGCAGAUAUCAGGAGGAACAUCAAUGGCGAAGGCAGCUCGCUGGGACGGUACUGACGCUGAGACGCGAAAGCGUGGGGAGCAAACAGG